rnacentral:rRNA from 1 species
ACGCUAGCUACAGGCUUAACACAUGCAAGUCGAGGGUUAGCAUGGUCUUAGCUUGCUAAGGCCGAUGGCGACCGGCGCACGGGUGAGUAACGCGUAUCCAACCUGCCUUACACUCUUGGACAGCCUUCUGAAAGGGAGAUUAAUACAAGAUGUUAUCAUGAGUAAGCAUUUUCGCAUGAUUAAAGGUUUACCGGUGUAAGAUGGGGAUGCGUUCCAUUAGAUAGUAGGCGGGGUAACGGCCCACCUAGUCUUCGAUGGAUAGGGGUUCUGAGAGGAAGGUCCCCCACAUUGGAACUGAGACACGGUCCAAACUCCUACGGGAGGCAGCAGUGAGGAAUAUUGGUCAAUGGACGAGAGUCUGAACCAGCCAAGUAGCGUGAAGGAUGAAGGUUCUAUGGAUUGUAAACUUCUUUUAUACGGGAAUAAACGGAUCCACGUGUGGAUUUUUGCAUGUACCGUAUGAAUAAGGAUCGGCUAACUCCGUGCCAGCAGCCGCGGUAAUACGGAGGAUCCGAGCGUUAUCCGGAUUUAUUGGGUUUAAAGGGAGCGUAGAUGGGUUGUUAAGUCAGUUGUGAAAGUUUGCGGCUCAACCGUAAAAUUGCAAUUGAUACUGGCAGUCUUGAGUACAGUUGAGGUAGGCGGAAUUCGUGGUGUAGCGGUGAAAUGCUUAGAUAUCACGAAGAACUCCGAUUGCGAAGGCAGCUUACUAACCUGUAACUGACAUUGAUGCUCGAAAGUGUGGGUAUCAAACAGGAUUAGAUACCCUGGUAGUCCACACGGUAAACGAUGAAUACUCGCUGUAGGCGAUAUACAGUCUGCGGCCAAGCGAAAGCAUUAAGUAUUCCACCUGGGGAGUACGCCGGCAACGGUGAAACUCAAAGGAACUGACGGGGGCCCGCACAAGCGGAGGAACAUGUGGUUUAAUUCGAUGAUACGCGAGGAACCUUACCCGGGCUUAAAUUGCAACCGAAUAUGGCGGAAACGCUAUAGCUAGCAAUAGCGGUUGUGAAGGUGCUGCAUGGUUGUCGUCAGCUCGUGCCGUGAGGUGUCGGCUUAAGUGCCAUAACGAGCGCAACCCUUGCCGAUAGUUACUAACAGGUUAUGCUGAGGACUCUGUCGGGACUGCCAUCGUAAGAUGUGAGGAAGGUGGGGAUGACGUCAAAUCAGCACGGCCCUUACGUCCGGGGCUACACACGUGUUACAAUGGGGGGUACAGAGGGCUGCUACCACGCAAGUGGAUGCCAAUCCCAAAAACCUCUCUCAGUUCGGAUUGAAGUCUGCAACCCGACUUCAUGAAGCUGGAUUCGCUAGUAAUCGCGCAUCAGCCACGGCGCGGUGAAUACGUUCCCGGGCCUUGUACACACCGCCCGUCAAGCCAUGGGAGCCGGGGGUACCUGAAGUGCGUAACCGCAAGGAGCGCCCUAGGGUAAAACU